UCAGAUCACAACGGGACCCAAAAUCAGUGACUAAUAGCAUACAAAACUGGUCGGAAUAGGCCAAAACUGCGAGUUUUGGCGAGUUCCCCGUAACCGGACCCCGCAGUUCCUGAAACGAACGGAUCACAAUGGGACCCAAAAUCAGUGAGUAAUAGCAUACAAAAUUGGCCGGAGUAGGCGAAAACUGCGAGUUUUGAUGAGUUCCCGUAAUCGGACCAAGGGGUUCGAUCCCGAAACGUUCGGAUCACAGCGGGACCCAAAAUCAGUGACUAAUAGCAUACAAAACUGGCUGGAGUAGGCCAAAACUGCGAGUUUUGAUGAGUUCUCGUAACCGGACCCUGGGGUUCCCAAAACGUUCGAAUCGCAGCGGGAUCCAAAAUCAGAGAGCAAUAGCAUGCAGAACUAGCCAGAAUAGGACAAAAGUGCGAGUUUGGACGAGUUCCCUGUAACCGGACCCCGAUGUUCCGAAAACAUCCGGAUCACAGCGGGACCCAAAAUCAGUGACUAAUUGCAUAGAAAACUGGCCGAAUUAGGCCAAAACUGCGAGUUUUGACGAGUUCUGCGUAACUGGACCCCGGGGUUC
rnacentral:lncRNA from 1 species